rnacentral:snRNA from 1 species
GUGCUCGCUUCGGCAGCACAUAUACUAAAAUUGGAACCAUACAGAGAAGAUUAGCAUGGCCCCUGCACAAGGAUGACACGCAAAUUCGUGAAGCAUUCCAUAUUUAA